AGACAGGGCCCGCCGCUGGAUUUAUGGAGCACGUCUCUUGUCCCAAGGGCUCCCCUCCCUAACCCCUCACCCGCGGGCGGCUCAGCCCCGCCAUCCCCGGAGAGUCAGGACGCCAAUUGACACCUCGAGGCGAGGUAUUUCGGGUUUUAUUCUAGUUUGCGCAAAGCAGAGAGCUGACUGGUACCACACAAAAGUCUAGCCCAGUGAUCAUCAAAACUUUACACUUGCUAUAUACCUUUUAACAAACAAAGGCAUCAGCCUUCCUCGGUUACCAACUAUGUAAGUUUUCUAUUAAUUAGUAUUCAAACAACUAUUUGGUAGUAACAUCUCGCUUCUCCUGCUAAUUAGUCCACAGGCGCAGUUCUUUUUUCCGGUUGAGUUUGGAGUCCCUUCUGGGUAGGUGGCCAGUGGGUUGCGAUCUCACACUGCCGAAAUUACGUUUCUCCCAGUUACUGCUCCAUUCUCCUGACUACAGUCCUGAUGGCUCUCGUCCACACAGCCCAUUCACCUUGGGAUUUUCUUUCCUUUUCCUAAAAAAAAAAAAAUAUUACCCGAGGGUGCAACAUGCACAAUUCUGCCGCACCUGGGCGCGCACCUGGCGGUCAGGGACGGAGCGCUGGCACGCCGUGCACACUGCGCAUGCGCGCGCCCACGGGCCGUGCCGUGUGCAGCGGGCCGCGGCGCGGGGCCAGCGCGUGCGCGGUUGCCGGGGCGACUGGAACACAACAUGGCGGCCUGAGCGGAGCACCGGGAGCGGGGCCGGGUCGGGCCCGGCUGCUGAUCCGCCAGCCCCGGCACCGGCGGGACGGCGCGGGAGGCACAGUAAGAGGGGAUGAAAGCCCUGGCUCCCUUUCACUGGUAUGUGAAUUUAUGGCCAUGACUAUUUAUGAGCUGAUAAAAGUACAGAAAUGGGAUAUUUCAGAGCGAUGGGCAACAAGAAAACAUAAUAAUGAAGUUUCCAGUCUCUUUUUCUUGGAUACAAUAAGCUGGACCACAUCUCAAAAAUCCAUGAAGUGGUAG
ensembl:lncRNA